CUAUAUAGAUCAACCUGGACCAACCUGGCCUUGAACUAGUUAGUAAUCUUCCUGGCUUUGCCUCCUGAGUGCUGGGACUUUUGGUGUGUGCCACCAUGCUGUCUACCUCUGUGCCUUUUUUAUAACCUAAUCUUGAAAGUAGUAUGCUGUCGCUUUUGCCACAUUUUAUUGGCCACACAGAACACCUUGGUAAAAGAGAGAAAGAAAUUGCACAAGGACGGUUGGGCAGAGUGGUUUGUGCAGAGGAGAGAAGAAUCCUUCCCAAGGGCCUGUCAUGUGAGACGUAGCCACAGCCCGAUGGAUGGAAAGGGAGAGUGCCCCAGAGGGGCUACGUUUUCAUUUAUGUGCUGGGUUCCUAACUGGAUGUUUAGAGGUAAGUAGCAUAGGGUAUGGCUUAAAGACUGAAGUUCUCUUUGCUGUGCAUACUACAUACACAAUAGUGUAUUGCUAAUACAAUUCAGUAAUUGUAUUGAUGGGGCCCAUGAGUAACCCCUCACUGGUGCAAAGCCAAAGCCUUUUACAUGCUAAGCAAGUACCUGACAAUGGAGAGUUAUAAUUUAUAGCUGUAAUAUAAUUUUUAAACAAUUUAUUUUAAAUGUGUGGGUGUUUUGCCUGCAUGUAUGUCUGUGUGCCUGGUGCUCAUGGAGGCCAGAAGAGGGCAUCAUAUUCCUAGAAAUUGGAGUUAGAUGAUUGUGACCUACCGUGUGGUUGGUUACUGAGAACCAAAUCUAGAUCUUCUGAUAGCAGCCAGUGUUAUUAACAGCUGAGCCAUUUCUCCAGCCCUAAUAUUGUUACAGAUAUUUAAAGUUCUAAAAAAAAAUGGGCUGGAGAGAUGCCUCAGUGCUUGAGUACUAACUGCUCCAAUUCCCAGCACCAACAUGGCAGCUUACAAUCUUAUGUAAUUCCAAUUAUAGGGGACCCAAAACUCUCUUCUGGCCUCCAUGGACACCAUGCACACAUGGGGUGACCAGAUAUACAUGAAGGCAAAACACACAAAAUAAAAGUUUAAAUUCCUAAAAUCCUAGAUGAUACUUCUUUUCAUGUUGUUUUAUUGUUUUGCAGCAGAAUGUCUGGCAUGGGAUAUAACUGAAAAUAUUAUUUAGCUGUGCAAGAAGAAAUGGCACUUAUAUACAAAAGAAAGACAUGAUUUUUUGGUUUUAAGUAAAUACAACAUAAUACAUCCCACAAGUGUCUGGACUCUUAGAUCUUCCUGAUGGAAGACCCACCAUGAUACCAUUACUCUCCCAAUAAUUAAAUGAGGUGCCAAUGAUGAAACAUGGUCACAAUUAGCACCCUUACAAGACUCCUUUCCAGACAUCUGACCAGAACCAAGACUGGAAUUUCUCAUCUGUACUUAACAGUGGAGCAUUCUCCCAUACCUGGUUCUGGUUCUGUUGAGAGGACCUACUUAAGUGACUUUCUCCAGCUCAUUGAAAGCAGCAGGGAAGCCUCAUCCAUGCCAUGGAAGUUGGACCACAUGCCUUUGAAGAAAGCUUUGUAAACCUCAUCUUUGGAAGUGUUUUUCUAAGCAUGCCAUGGUGUGUUGAUGGCCCCAUGGAGAUAAGAGACAGUUCCUUUUGUAGCUGGGAUGACAGUGCUGAUUCCUACUGGAAGAAGGACAGCAGUGGAGACACCUAGACCACUGUGAAAAAAGCGCAGGCUCUUUGGACAAAUGUGAGCUUCAAGACCAGGAAGCCAGAGCUACUGGCUGGAUUGCCUUCUGUUUACUCAUUUCCAGCAUUCACCUCAAAUCCACAGUGAAUUUGGCAGGUGGUCAUCAGUGUGCAGAGGCAGGUGGGGCCAGGACAUAAGUGGGCCACCCUUGCGGGUCUUUUAUGGGCUAAAGCCAGGAAGGGCUCAGCAGGAGCCAUCAGAAGCUUUGAUGCUGUGCUCCAGCUCUCAGUAAAUGGUUUUGUAACUAAAUCAGAGACAAAAGGACAGCUCUACAAAAGGCAGGGCCUAGUGACCAUUCCUCACAGCCACAACAGGCCCAGUAGCCUCCAUGAUCGUAUCUGUAGCCUGCACAAAUCUGUCUCCCAAACAUAGAUCAGGAACACCAUUCCUGGCCAUCACAUGUAUAGACACACACACCACCCUCUAGAACCUGGGACCCACCAACAAAUAAGCUUCACAUAACCAGGCGGUACACUGAGACUUGCCCUGCAUCAGAUCCUGGGUGUGCUCUGUGGCGCAACUAUGCAGUCCCAUUGGGUCAGGUCAUGUUGAGGAAGAAGCCGCCUCCUCCAUCUCUCAGGAGAGCUGGAGGUUUUCCUCCCCAAGUGAAAGGUAGUAUGGGAGGAGGGCAGAACUAUGAGAGCCAGUCUGGCCUCCUGCAGCCAAGAACACGGGUCUUGGCUGGACCCGAGAGACCACUUACUAUCUACACAGGCGGUUCUUUACUUUUUCUAAGCCUCAGUUUCUGUCAAUGUGGAGUGGGCAUAAGACAUAGUCUAUCUAAGGAUUGGAUUGUGUUCUCCAAAUACAAUAGCUGAAGCCCUAACCUCAGGAGGUGACCUUUGCUGAAAACAGGGUCUAUAAAGUGGACCCAAUGUAGCAGGACUGCUGUCCUUUUAUAAAGGAGACGUCUACAUUAGAUAGCCAAGGAAAGAUGGUCAGAGGACUGGACAGAAGUGGUCAGAUGUCCUGAAAGCUGAGGCCUGUGGCAGACCCCACAAGCUAGAAGAGGCAGGAAGGACCUGCCUGGAGCCUUCAGGAGGAGUGUGGCCACACCUUGGUUUGUGAUUUCUGUCUUCUGAGUGAUGAGCUUUCCUUGUUGUCUGCCAUGCCACCCAGAUUCUGUUACAGCAGCCCUAGGAAAGACCACACCAUGCUCCACCCCUACCCCUCCACCCCACCCCCAGUUGGCUUGGAACAUAGGGGCAGACUGUGCUGAUUCAGGCCUUUGCCACAGCCAAGUACAAACCUAGAGGAAGGUACCUCAUACACAGAAGAGCAGGACACAGUCCCGGCCCUGGUCCUUUUCCUGCCCACUAAAAGCUGUUUAGCAGCUCAGUUUCCUAACCAGCAAGAUGGGGACAAUUCUGCCUACUUUCCAGGCUGUCACAGAGAUGAAAUGACAGCAGAGCAGCUGUGCAAUGACUACUUUCCAUCUUCUUCGAAGAGACAAAAGGGAUGUCAUUUUCUACUGACAACAAGCUUUGACCUGACAUUCCUUUCUCAAAGAAAGAGAAAUGUGUCACAAGUCAAACUGUAGUGUCUUGCCGUUCUGGCCUCCCCAGGACCUACAGUCAUCAAGAUGCCAAUGGUGGAGCUGGCAACAGGGAUGAGAAGAUCUUUACAAGGGACUGUCCUUGGGGGCAGAAGACAUGAGGCCUGGCCAAUGCUGCAUCAGCCCAGGCGGAUUUCCAGAAUACUGGGUUUGGCUGGUCCUGGCUGUGGCACCACAACAGACAGCUUCCCUCCUUGUCCAGACCCAUUUGGAGCUGGCAGCAUCAAGCCCACCAUGCCUGCCCUGCUGAAGCCUUCCAUGGCUGUGCUGUAUGCUGGCUCUGCAAACAGGCCCUCUGGGUCACUGCCCUCUGGGUCCCCCAAGGCUGCCAUGCAACACCCGAGUCUAUUCAAUACCAGCCUCCCUGUAAGUCACAACAAUGGGUUUUUUGCCUCAGAGAAACUUACCUAGCCACAUUGGACAGGUCCAGGUGCUUCUGAACCUCCAGCAGAACCUCCCGGAAGAAGCGCAAGCGCUUCUCUUCAAACUGCUGGCACUGCUCAAACACCUGCUCCAUGUUCUCCAUGUACUGGGGUGUGGUCUGAUCAAGCUCCUUCAGGGCCUUCUCAUACUUGUCCUUGGUCUGUGUUGAAAUUGGCACAGGCAGAGGUUUCUUGUCCAUCCCACCUCUGUUUGCCCCAUGUGCUCCACUGCUGCUCAGGCCUCCCUAGAUUCCAAAUGUGGGAGCAGGAGUUCCAGAGCCUAGCAUUCUCCAAGUGCAGUCCCUGUGCUUCUCCAUGGCAAGUAACUCUGUUUUCCAUCUCACAGAUACGAGGCCCAAACAGGUAGAUAGUCACAUCAAUACUCAGUGCCCUGUAUCCAAAGCAUACAUCUAGGUUGGUGGCAUAGUUGUGAGCAUAGCUGCCUUCUUUUUUCAUCACAAGCCUUUGUUCAUUUUUGUCAGUGGGGAAUACUAUGCUGCGCAACACUCUAGCCUAGAUCUAGCCCCAGCAGCUAUGGCAUGUGAGGCACCUCAGAGACAAGCUCAUUGUCUUAAGUGCCAAAUGGCCCUGGGCCUCACCCAUUAUCAGACAAAGAGAGACUUAAAUGACUGACAUAAAGCUACAUAGAUUAGACAUUCCUAAUUUUCUCCAGUCAGCCUCUUUUUUUGAAGGCUAUCCAGAGGAAGGGCAUUUAGUUAAAAGGAUAGAUUAAGAGCAGUAUGGUCCAAUUAAGCAAGUCUCUGGAGGGAAUUAUUAAAUCCCUAAGAUGUGGUGAAAGUGGACAUCUGAUGUGUGUGCUCAGGCUUGGAGACCACAUUCAUCCAGACGUGUGUACCCUACCCUCCAUACCAUGCUAAUCUAUAGGAGCUUCCUGGAAGUGAGCAGCAGGGUUCUGGGAAUGCCUAUUUCCACAUGUGUGUCUAACAACUGAAGGGUGUUCAUGGAUGCAUGUGAGAAGUACAUGACACUCUUGCUAAAGCUGGUACCAUGCCAAUGCUCAGCUUACCUCACCAGCCUGUGAUUAACCUUCAGAGUGUCCAUUAGCAGGUGGCCACUUCAGUAUUCCAUCCAUAGUCACUCGGGUGAAGGUACAGAUUCACUAUUUCUUGGUCUCUCUGGAGCUGGCAAGAUUGUCCUGUUGUACACUGUGUGGUGCAUUCUGCUGCUUCUACCUAUAAGUGGAAAGAAUGCUAAGGACCACAUUGUUCAAAGUGGCCUUCAUGCAGAAGACUCCCAUUUUCAGAUUCUUUUCUGAGGACUCUAGGCUUUCUGAAAGUUGUGCACUGCUUCAUUUCCUCAAGAUCUCCCAUGGCUGUGCUAAAAAGCUGACAUUGGUAUCUCUCGUUGCGUGUGUAUAUUGUCAGAUGAGGAAGCAGCUACAAACUGUAGGUAAACUAUCACAAGUAGUCAUCAGAAAAGGACCUCACUUGGUCACGCUUGGUAUCUCAUGUUGACAUAGGGGACAGGGACAACUUCCAAUAUUUGGUGGUGACUAAAGCCUACUUUCAUGUCAUCACAUAAAAGAAUAUUACUAUCUAGUUAUUCCCACCUAUCUCAUGCUAGGCACCAUUCUUGUGUUUUCAGCCUCUAAAUAUUGCCUAUUCCCUAGCAAGUAGGAAUAACUGUCCCCAUUUCACAGAUGAGGAAACUGAAGCUUAGGGCAGUCACUGCAUCUGCUAGUGUCCUACAGCUCAGUAGCAGGGCUUCAGCUGAAAGUAGCUCUUUGUACAGUUCUGGUAGGGACAGUCUGGCUAGCAAAACCUGAUUUGUACCUGCCUUUUCAAGAGUAUAUUAAGUAUUGACUGCCUUUUCACAUAAGUCAGGAAUUUUUUUUAAGUUAGGAAUUUUUUAAAAUGAGUGCCAAGUGGAUAAUUUAGGAUGAAAAUACUCAAUGUUUCAUUGAGCUGUGGACUUUUCAAGGUACAGGCAUUAACCCUGAAGGUCCCCCAGGAAAGAAAUGGAAUCUGUUCUCAUCUUUUUCCUCCCAUGGUCUUCACAGUAUUAGCCAACAAAUUAAGAACACAGCAGUUCAGAGCUGCUAACAAGAAAGCUACACUUGGACAUUUUUUAUUUUUAUCUACAUUGAGCAAAAGAUCCCUCAACCAGUUGCUGACAUCUUUGAUGGCCCCAAGGGAUCUUAGAGGGUGUGAAGAAGACCAGCCUUGGUGAUAGGUGGUGCAAAUUUGCCUUGUGGCUGCCUGAACCUUUGCUUUAAUUUCAGCCAAUAGGCUCUUCCCUGACAGUAUACAGUGUGUAACCCCUACCCACCAUAAUGCCACCACCUCUGCUUGUCCUGUAUUCUGGAGUGUUCACCAGCUGUCACAAGCUCUGGUGGCCUUGGCUUAAUCUCCCCCUUUGGACUGCAGACUGGUUGCAGCACUAACAGUCUGUAGGCUUUGUCUUUUCUGCUGACUCAGUACUCUAUUCCAGUAGACUCUGGCUCCUGUAACUUUAGAGCUGCUCUGGUGGUUCAUGCCUGCAAUCCUAGCACUCGUAGCAUUGUCAGGUUGAGGCCAACCUGAGCUACAUAGUGAGUUCCAGACCAGCUUGGGCUACAGAGUGAUACCCUGACUCCAAAAUAUAAAGAAAAGGAAAAGAGACUUUAGGUAGAACUGCCACUCAACUGCACUGUGCCUUGUCCAUGUCUGAAAACCCUCUGGGCUCUGUUUUGGUUUCUGAUACUCUGAAUUUGGCGCAGCUUUUGUUUUGUGAGCGCCUAUUCCAGUUCUCACACCCUGUCUGCAGGUCCUGAGCCUAGUACUGUUAGCACUUCCAGGGAUGCCAUGAAAAGCAGCUCUGAGAGCCCUGAGGUUCUCGUUGCUUCUCAUGUUCACAAGUUACCUUUUCUUUGGUCUCCUGCUUAAAAAGUAGGCCUGGAAAUCACCCCAUGUGUGUCUAAUUGAGGUUCAUUUAGAUCCAAGAGAUUCAAGAAAAAGGACAACUUGCCUCAAUGCCUGACAUCAGUAUGAAUUAGAAGACCAAUUGGGUUUGCUUGGAGGAAAAGAGACUCCUUUAAUCUUUUUAUCCUAGGACCCUCAUCUGAGAGACUCCUAACUAAGCCCCUAGGCCUACAGACCCUGUGAUCCAGACAGCUGAGGGAAGACACAAAAGUUUCAGGGAGGACCUCAGACCCUUCGCAGAGGGGAGAAAGGAUAGAUAAAAGCCAAUACCUUGUGGCAACCACCUCAGGGUAAUUCAAAAUAAAUAUGACCCAAAUUUAUCUAACAAGAACCAAGGCACCUGACUGAGAGCCAGUGCAUAUUUGACCAAAAGGGUACUAGGAAAUGACUGCUUUGUAAAGGGCUGGCCAAACAGCAGCCCCCACCCAAGUGCAGCCAUGAUUAGCCCCUGGGUCAAGAAACCCCAUAGAACUUUGUGUGACGCUUGUGGCUGGUUGAUACAUUAUCACAUACCUUGUGGUCUUAGGGUUCGGGUAUAAAAUCUUAACCCCCAAAGCACUGAUAGGUGGAAGGUUUAUCAGCUGGCAUCGUAAUGACUGGAUCGUAAGGGUGGUGUCACCAAUGGAUUAAUCUGUUAUUUGAAUGGGCAGUUAGACCAUGGGGUCUGUUUGCAGGAAGUGGGACACUGGAGGAGUGCCCUGGAAGGGGUAAAUCUUGUAUCCUUAUGAGGUAAGCACUCUGCUUUGCCAAGUGUUUCUGUCAUGUUCAGUUUUGCUUCAGGUCUACAGUGAUAAGGCCAGAGAACCAUGGACCAAAGCCACGAGCCAAAAUAAGUCUACUCAUUUCAGUUUUAACAAGUAUUUUUUGGCACAACAGUAGAUAACACAAGGGUAAUUUUAUUUGUCUAUAUGUAAAGGUGUAUAUAUCUACAUGUAUACUGUAUGCAUAUUGUGUAUAUUGUACCAAAUUGAGUUAGAAAUAAACAUUUGUUUAUUAAAGAAACUUGUGAGAUAA